GACGAACGCUGGCGGCGUGCUUAACACAUGCAAGUCGAACGGAAAGGCCCUGCUUUUGUGGGGUGCUCGAGUGGCGAACGGGUGAGUAACACGUGAGUAACCUGCCCUUGACGUUGGGAUAACUUCAGGAAACUGGGGCUAAUACCGGAUAGGAGCUCCUGCUGCAUGGUGGGGGUUGGAAAGUUUCGGCGGUUGGGGAUGGACUCGCGGCUUAUCAGCUUGUUGGUGGGGUAGUGGCUUACCAAGGCUUUGACGGGUAGCCGGCCGGAGAGGGUGACCGGCCACAUUGGGACUGAGAUACGGCCCAGACUCCUACGGGAGGCAGCAGUGGGGAAUAUUGCACAAUGGGCGGAAGCCUGAUGCAGCAACGCCGCGUGCGGGAUGACGGCCUUCGGGUUGUAAACCGCUUUCGCCUGUGACGAAGCGUGAGUGACGGUAAUGGGUAAAGAAGCACCGGCUAACUACGUG
rnacentral:rRNA from 1 species